AUGAUUCAAGAGUACAAUCCGAGUAUCGAGUAUACUCCAGGCAAGGCUAAUGUGAUUGCUGACGCUUUGAGCAGAAAAGCAUAUUGCAACAGUCUGAUUCUCAAGCCUUAUCAACCCGAGCUUUGUGAAGCUUUCCGCAAGCUUAAUCUGCAAGUUGUUCCUCAAGGUUUCCUCGCCAACCUUCAAGUUUCUCCUACCUUGGAAGACCAGAUUCGCCAAGCCCAACUUCUUGAUGCUAUGGUGAAAAAGGUGAAGAUUGGUAUUGCAAAGAGUCAGUCCAAGUACAAGUACUACCGACUUGAUGACAAGGACACUCUCUUCUUCGAGGAUCGAAUUGUUGUGCCCAAAGGUGAACUUCGUAAGGUGAUCAUGAACGAGGCUCACAACUCUCUCCUCUCCAUCCACCCUGGUAGUACGAAGAUGUAUCAGGACCUCAAGCAAGCUUAUUGGUGGACUCGAAUGAAGCGCGAGAUCGCUCAAUUCGUGAAUGAAUGUGAUGUCUGCAGAAGAGUGAAGGCAGAACACCAAAGGCCAGCUGGUCUCCUCCAACCUCUUGCCAUUCCGGAAUGGAAGUUUGACCACAUUGAAAUGGACUUCGUGACUGGGUUUCCAAAGUCCAAGCGUGGCAAUGAUGCUAUUUUCGUCGUCAUCGACAAGCUCACCAAAGUGGCUCACUUUCUGCCUAUCAAAGAGUCGAUCACUGCAGCUCAAUUGGCGGAACUCUAUACCUCUCGCAUUGUCUCUCUGCACGGUAUUCCUCAAGUGAUAUCUUCAGACCGUGGCAGCAUCUUUACCUCCAAGUUUUGGGAUUCUUUUCAGAAGGCCAUGGGCACCAACAUCCGCUUCAGCACAGCUUUCCAUCCUCAAACAAGCGGUCAAGUCGAGCGUGUCAAUCAGAUUCUUGAAGAUAUGCUCAGGGCUUGUGUGAUUUCUUUCGGCAUGAAGUGGGAGGACUGUCUUCCUUAUGCUGAAUUCUCAUACAACAACAGCUUUCAAGCAAGUUCGGGCAAGGCCCCCUUUGAAAUUCUAUAUGGCAGGAAGUGCCGUACCCCUCUCAACUGGUCUGAAACCGGUGAACGUCAGCUGCUGGGCAAUGACCUAAUCACAGAGGCAGAAGAAAUGUGCAAAGUCAUUCGUGAUAACCUCAAAGCAGCUCAAUCCCGCCAGAAGUGCUACUAUGAUAGUAAGCACCGUGAUCUGGUUUUUGAGAUCGGAGAUCAUGUUUACCUCCGUGUCUCUCCCAUGAAAGGUACUCGUCGCUUCGGUAUCAAAGAGAAGCUUGCCCCUAGAUACGUGGGACCUUUCAAGAUUGUCAGCAAGAGAGGCGACCUCGCCUAUCAACUCGAGCUUCCUUCAAACUUUGCAAAUGUUCAUGAUGUGUUCCAUGUCUCUCAGCUUCGAAAGUGCUUCAAGACUCCUGACCGCACCGUCAACUUCGAGGACAUUGAGCUCCAAGAAGAUCUCUCUUAUCGUGAGCACCCAGUUGCUAUUCUUGAAGAGACUGAACGCAAGACUCGCAACAAGUCAAUCAAAUUUCUCAAAGUUAAGUGGUCACACCAUUCCGACCGUGAAGCUACCUGGGAACGCGAGGAUCACCUCCGUUCUGAGUACCCGGAGUUCUUUCAGUCCUAG
rnacentral:rRNA from 1 species